GCCCGGGUGGCGAAAUUGGUAGACGCACCAGAUUUAGGUUCUGGCGCCGAAAGGUGUGGAGGUUCGAGUCCUCUCCCGGGCA
rnacentral:tRNA from 1 species